GAAAUGCGAUAAGAAAUGUGAAUUGCAGAAUUCAGUGAAUCAUCGAAUCUUUGAACGCACCUUGCGCUCCUUGGUAUUCCUUGGAGCAUGCCUGUUUGAGUAUCAUGAAAUCUUCAAAGUAAAUCUUUUGUUAACUCAAUUGGUUUCUACUUUGGUAUUGGAGGUCUUUGCAGCUUCACACCUGCUCCUCUUUGUUCAUUAGCUGGAUCUCAGUGUUAUGCUUGGUUCCACUCGGCGUGAUAAGUUAUCUAUCGCUGAGGACACUGUAAAAGGUGGCCAAGGUAAAUGCAGAUGAACCACUUCUAAUAGUCCAUUGACUUGGACAAUACUUUUAUGAUCUGAUCUCAAAUCAGGUAGGACUACCCGCUGAACUUAAGC
rnacentral:misc_RNA from 1 species